GCCCCGGUAGCUCAGUGGAUAGAGCGUCCCUUUCGCAAGGGGAGUGUCCAGGGUUCGAAUCCCUGCCGGGGCA
rnacentral:tRNA from 1 species